CUCGUUGGACAGUAAACUCCCUAUUUGAUGCAGGCAAAAUCAGUGGCACUCUAUUUCUAAUUUGUGUCAAUCUUGCCACCUGAAUACGCUCCAACUUCAAAUACCCGCUCAUCAAAUCAUCGUUUCCGUCGAUCAGAACCCUCAAUUUCAAUGGGAGAAUCGCAUCGAUGCUCUGUACAUCUUGCCCUCGGCGGUGGCGCAGUUGCCGAUGUGUUGUUGUGGAAAAAUUGGUUUGGGAGCGCUGCUCUGCUUAUCGGUUCUACCGCCCUUUGGUUAUUAUUUGAAAGAGCCGGCUAUAAUCUCUUAUCAUUUAUUUCAAAUGUCUUAUUAUUGCUUGUAGUGAUCUUGUUCUUCUGGGCCAAAUCUGCAUUACUUCUCAAUAGACCUCUGCCUCCUGUUCCUAAUCUUGACAUUUCUGAGGAAUCUGUUGUGAAAGGCGCUGAUGAGAUGCGAGUUUAUGUAAAUCGAGCAUUAUCCAUUGCGCAUGACAUUGCCAUUGGUGGAAACUUGGGACUCUUUGUUCAGAUAGGUUUUUUUGGGCUUGUGGGUGAUAUCCUAUAUUGGAAGUUUCUUCAACUUCCUUACCCUGGCAUAUACUGGGGUUCUUCUCAGUUUAUCACUACCUGUGUUGUACGCCAAAUACCAAAAGCAAAUCGAUGAAAAGCUGAUUAUAGCACAUAAGAUUAUUCAGACACAGUACCGGAAAAUUGAUGAACAAAUAUUGAGAAAGAUUCCGAUGCCUUCAAAAAAUGAUAAGAAGACCCAAUAGAUUCGGUGUAUCUUAUUUUUGCUAGUUGCUGGAUAUCUACAUAGCUUACCAUUAGUUCUGGGAACAAACAGAGGAUGAUUGCCUUCUCGUCUAUGGUUUACGGAAGAGGCUAGUCAAACAUUAUUUUUCAUGCUUGAAACUCAUUGGUCAUAGUUUUCUUAAUUUCUAACCCCGUCGACCCUUCACAGUUUCCACGCUUCAUUGACUUGGAAUAGGGUAAACAGGUUUAGUUGUGAUUUUGGUCGAAAGUCAAUUGAGGAUCUGCAGUUUGCUUUUUAUGAAGUUUCUUUGUGUGAAUGCCAGAAGUCUGAAUAGGAUGGUUAUGACGUAUUUUGUGCUUUAGAGGAACCCCAUAUUGAAAUCGAAACAGGAUCCACCUUGCAACUUUGGGUGAUUUAUUGAGUUUGAAACUUGUAAAAUUCGCUUUUGUAAUUUCUACCAGUUUGAUGAA